rnacentral:rRNA from 1 species
GACGAACGCUGGCGGCGUGCUUAACACAUGCAAGUCGAACGGAAAGGCCCUGCUUGCAGGGUGCUCGAGUGGCGAACGGGUGAGUAACACGUGGGUGAUCUGCCCCUUACUUUGGGAUAAGCCUGGUAAACUGGGUCUAAUACUGGAUAGGACCAUGCUGUAGGUGGUGUGGUGGAAAGAUUAGUUUCGGUAAGGGAUGAGCUCGCGGCCUAUCAGCUUGUUGGUGGGGUAAUGGCCUACCAAGGCGUCGACGGGUAGCCGGCCUGAGAGGGUGGACGGCCACAUUGGGACUGAGAUACGGCCCAGACGCCUACGGGAGGCAGCAGUGGGGAAUAGUGCACAAUGGGCGCAAGCCUGAUGCAGCGACGCCGCGUGGGGGAUGACGGCCUUCGGGUUGUAAACUCCUUUCGGCCAUGACGAAGCCCUUGUGGUGACGGUAGUGGUAGAAGAAGCACCGGCUAACUACGUG